ACCAGGUAUAUAUUUUAGACGAAUUUUCUAAAAAACAAAUUGGAAAGUAUUGGCAAUAAUUAAAAUAUUGUUAAUAAAAAUGUAUACAAAGGUUCAGUGCUGAACGAACAAUUAACCAACUGAUGCUUGGCAUUGCCACUCUAUUGUGCUAUUCUUUAACACAUUUAUAAUGUGCUUAGACUUACGAUAAUUUGUAUUGUCAUUAGAAUCUGUCAUAAAAACAUCGCUUAUUUAUUUGUAGUGGGAUGUUUUACGACAAAUUGUAUACCAAAUGAAAGAUUGUUUUCUUCUAGUAUAUAAAACGAAACUUGGACGGAUCAGUAUUACCAAUUGUUUUUAGUCUACAACCAGUGGACGUUUUCCGUAUUCGCAUUUGAACGCAAUGGCUGAUAAAAACAAACAAAACAAAGUCAAGGCGCUUUAUAAAAAAUGGAGUGAAGCAGAGCAACAAAAUUUAAUAGAUUUUCCAAACAGCAACCAGCACCAGUGUUUAUUACUGUAUUUAGCUAAGUAUAAAUUAGAGGGCAUCCAAUAAAAGGCCCUUCGUAACAAAGUGCGUAGUUUGCGGCAAGCAUAUGUACUUAAAGCAAGGGGACCGGAAAACUCUAAACUCUAAAACUCUGCUGCAACUUUCAAAGACGGGGAAACUAUCCGAGGACUGAUUUUACAACAAUGCCCAUUGUAUAACGAGCUAAAGGACGUGUUUACUUAUAGAGAGUUUGGAACGGUUGAAGGCAUCAUCGAUACAACCGACAGUGUAAUGGACGCCACCGUUUGACGUAAUUGGUGAUGACGAAAUCGCUUGAUGAAUUAUUAUUAUUAUUAUCAUUUUGCAUGCAUUCGCCUCUUCUAGUGGGUACUCCAAACGUCUGAUUGCUGCUUUUAACUGAUUAAUCUUUUUGUUUAAUUCUGAGAUUUCCAAUAGCAUGUUGGAUUACAGAAUACGAAAGCAUGCACAGAAGUAUGUAAAACAAAUGAUGGUAAUUAAUACACUGCACAUUUUUUAAUGUGCACUUACUCAGUUUGUAUUUCCCAAUCGUCCACAAACAGGUUUCACAGUAAGAAACACAGGAAAGCUAAUUGAAUUUUAGAAAUCUAUGUAACGCAUUUUAAAUUUUUUUUUUUUCAUAUUCUUAGCCGAUGAUGAAGAGUUUAUGUUCGAGAAGCUUGAGCGUAAUUUAAAUAUAUCUUAUAUUUACAUAAAAUAAAAAUAUUGCAACUUACUUAGGCUGGGAGGAAAACUGGGAAUCAUUCAUUUUAGAAGAAUAUGCAUUUGAAGUCUCGAAUUCCGGCCUAUAUUAAAAAAAAGCAUUAUUGGCGUAAAUUUGGAGAUUGUAUUUUGCGACGCUCGAAAAUAUGGAAUAGCGGUCGGAUACAAAUACUUUUUUCCGCC